rnacentral:lncRNA from 1 species
GUUACCUAUUUCCAAGUGGUGAUUUUUCUCCAAAGAGUAAGAAGCACGGAUCAUCUCGCAGAUCUUCUGUGGGCCAGGCACUCAGGAGCAGCAUAAUUGGAAAGUUCUGGCUCUGGGUCUCAGAGUAGGUGCAGUCCAGCUGUUGGCCAGAGCUUUGGUCAUCUGAAGGCCUCGUGGGGCUGGAGAUCCACUUCUGACCUGGCUCUGUCUCCAAGAAGGCGGUUGGUGCCUCUCCUCUUCAGCCUGAGCAUGUUGACAACACAGUGGGCUGUCUUCCUUUGAGUAAACGGUCCAGAAAGGAACGAGGUAGAACCUCAGAGGUCUUGAUGCUCCCUCCUCAGGGUCACAUAACCUCCUUUCUGCAUGUCCCAUUGGUCACACAGCUCAGUCCUACUCAACAGGAAAGGGGAAAACGCACGUGGCAAACCAGGAGUUGGGCAUCUCUGGGACGGUCACAGGGCCCACCUACUGUAGGUGCCAUCGUAGGAGGAAGGGGAUCUGGAGGCGAGGCAGGAGGCCUAACAGAUGUUCCGCACAGUGAUGAUGACCUUGAGCUCACAGUGUAGAGGAAGGCAGAAGAUAAGGAUGUCAUAGUUAAUUAGUGAUUACUCGGCUGAGAGCACUCACAGCAACGGGAAGCAGAACAAAGAGCCUAGGAACCCAGAAGAGGAGGCCACUGAGCUCAUCCGGAGAAGCCACGGGAGGCAUCCUGGAGGUGGUGACAUUGGAGUUGGACUUUGUGAACAAAGAGAAGACGGGGUGAAGGGCACUCCAGGCCUGGGCAAGAGUGGGAAGGGGUGGAGUCGGGCUCUGCUGGGUAGUUGAUGGGGCUUGACCCAGAGAGUGGGAGAGAGAGUCUUGCAAGUGCCCCAAGC